CCGCAUUAAAAAGCUAUCAUCUUCUUCUGUAGCUCUCUAUAGCUAUUGGAAACCUCCACUGUGGUGGCGAUGAGGGUGAGAAGAUGAACUUUGGUGGUGGAAACCGGUGGCCCCGGCAAGAAAGAUAAGGUCGGAUAUGGAUUCUGUGUUUUCGAGAUUCAAGUCUCAAGGGUCUACUCUGGGAAGAAGUUUCAAGGUAUAAACUAUACACCGUACCUUCUUCAUCAUUGAUUCAUUAACAUCUAUCCAUGCUUCUUUUCUUUUCCUCUCUUUCUUCUUACAUAGAUUUCAAAAUCAGUUAAUUAAGUGAUCAAGUUAUAUAUCAAGUCCUUUUAGGAUAAGAAUAAUUGAAUCAUUACAUAUUAAUUAUUCUGUGUCAGUGUUACUAACACUCUGCGGAAUUUGUCUUCUUUUCUUUCUCGGAAUUCGUCCUUUCCAAUAUGAAUAUAUCGUCAUCAUCAGUUUCUUUCUUUAUUUUAUUCUCCAUUUCUUUUCUUUCUUAUUUCGUACACGGUCUAUACUUUACGUGAAUAUUUUUGUUGGACUUACAGCCUUACACCAUUUCUCAUCAAAACAAUAAUGUAAGUUUUGUUGUUUCCCCACCUACAUUCUAUUAUAUAUUUUUUCUGCGCCAUUUUACUAUAUUAUUGUUUCCACUGUUGAUUCCUUGUUCUGACUCCUUUUCCUGCCUGCUAAUAGGUGCCAUUGAAAUAUGAACUGUAUGCAGUUGUUGUGCAUAUUGGGUUUUCAUCUACUUCAGGACAUUACUUUUCCUUUGUUCGGUUAAGUACGAGGGAGGAUUCACCAUUUUUGGGGCGUAAAUCAUCUUUUUCGAAUAUUUUUACACUUUAUUUUCGAUUUUUUUUAUUAUGUUUCUUGUAGAUAUUUGUUAGUAUUUUUUACUAUUGCACAUUUACUUUAGUAUAUAUAUAUAUAUUGCAUUUAUAUUUUUGCAUGGUAUAUAUUUUAUAGAUAGAAAUUGUGAUUGGAUAAUGUGAAUAGCAUAGUGUCUAGUUUAAUUUUGUCCUAAUUUUUCAUAUUGGUUUUUGGAUAUUGCAAAUUUGGAAUAGAACUAGAAAAUUUUUUGAUGAAAUUGCAUCCAUCACAACAUACAUACAUAUAGGAAAUAAUUUUGGUGAAAAACAACAAAGAUUUCCAAGAAUUUUAUUUUUAGGGCGUUCUAUUGAAUUGAUUUGGAAAAUCUUUUUUAAACUUGCUUGACUGAAUUUUUGUGAAAUAUAGGAGAGAGAUAGAACAAACAACCUUGUGAGUUGUUGAGCCAUAUUGUGUGGUUACACAUUUAAAUCACUAUUUUGUUCUUGUGUGCUAUGCUCCUUCUAUGAUUGUAAUCUUAGAUUUGCUUGAUUCUUUAUUUCUGAUGUUUGAUGUUUUGAAUGCAUUUAGCAUGAUUGAGGCCAUUUUUGAAUUAAAGCUUACUUACCUAUAUGGCCAUACCCGUAUAUCUACCUUUGUGAGCCAAUAUUGAGCUUUUUAAUCCCCUUUGUUCUAAUUAUUACCACGUCACCAACUUUAAGCAAAAAACCAAGAACUACCUUGAAUUGUAUCUUUGAUUAGUUUAGGUUGAGAUGUGUGUCAUUUAAGUGUGGGAGAAAUUUUGGAAAGCAUUGGUAGAGAAAAAUUUUAUUUUGGAUAUUCAUUGAAAAUUUUAAAAAAUGGGUACACAUUCAUGUAUCAGUUUACUUUAACCAUAUGUAUUUGUUAUAGAAAAAGAAAAAAAAAUGAAAUGAAAAAAAUAAUAGGGGACAAAAAUUAUCCCAAAAAAGAAAAAAAAGAAAAAAAAUGAAUACAAAAAAAUGCAUAUGUGGAUUUGGAUGAAAAAGAUAUAUGAAUGUGUAUAAAAAGAGAAGAAUGGAAAGUUAGGUUGCAUUUUAGUGAUUAGGUUGAUAUAGGUUGGGUGGGAUACUUGAGCCAAUCAAAGAUUCAAUCUAUUAGUCCACUUAACCAUAUUAAUCCUACCUUCACCUUAACCCCAUUACAACCCUAAUAAGUCCUCAUGAUACUUGUAUUCAUGCAUCAUAUAUUUGUUGAUUGUUAGAUGAAAAGCAAAUCCUUGAAAGCAUGAUUAGAGGAGACUUGAGUUAUUAAACCCUAAACACCGAGCGUUGAGAGUGUAUACACACCUGGUAAGGGUUCGAUCACUCAAUUCUAUGUUUCCACACCUCUUAUCAUGUAUUCUUGCAAGUUGCUUCAUUUUGAUGAGUUGAAUCAAUUCUUUAGAUUUUGAUUGCAUUGAAUUAUUUCUUUGUUUCUAGCCCUAUAUCUCCAUAUACUUGCUUGGAAUUUGGUUGUUUGUUUUCACCAAAACAAUAAGAAAUCAUAGUAUAGAUAGAUAUAGAUGGUAUUUAGUAUACUUGCAUGCAUAUAGAUAGUUGCAUUCAAUAAGUUGUUAUCCUUUGAUCAUUCUCCUUGUUUGUGUUUAGCAUGAGAACAUUGCUAUUAUUUAAGUGUGGAGGAAUUGAUGAAUCCAUAGUUGAUGAUAAUUUUUUGCUUAAAUUGAACGGAUUUCAUCAUAUAAACUCAUGCUUAAUCACCAAAAUAGCAUACUUUUGUGAUUUCUCUCUAAUUUGGACCUAAAUGUAAAAGUAUGCAUUUUUAUACUUAAAUUGAUCAUUUUAAUUUCACUUUUGUUCCAUUUGAUGCCGUGAUAUGUUAUGUGAGUGAUUUCAAGUCUUAGAGGCAUGAAUAAUUUAGUAGAAGUGAAAAAAAAACAUACAAAAUGAGAGAUUUCAUAAAAAAAUAAAAGAAAAGCACUCAAUCAAAUGUGAGUAUGCACAACUCCGAUCCUUUUCCUCGUAAUAGGUGCCAUUGGAAUAUGAACUAUAUGCUGUUGUUGUGCAUAUUGGGUUUUCGUCUACUUCAGGACAUUACUUUUCCUUUGUUCGCUCUGCACCAGAUACAUGGCAUAAGUUGGAUGAUUCAAAGGUUGAUGAUACUGCUCAACUUUUAGCAAUUAUUGUUUUACACAUUGCUAAGAAUAUUGGGAAUUCAAAAAUUCUUUCAGAAGUUCACUGAAAUUAUUA